rnacentral:rRNA from 1 species
GACGAACGCUGGCGGCGUGCUUAACACAUGCAAGUCGAACGGAAAGGCCCUGCUUUUGUGGGGUGCUCGAGUGGCGAACGGGUGAGUAACACGUGAGUAACCUGCCCUUGACUUCGGGAUAACUUCAGGAAACUGGGGCUAAUACCGGAUAGGAGCUCCUGCUGCAUGGUGGGGGUUGGAAAGUUUCGGCGGUUGGGGAUGGACUCGCGGCUUAUCAGCUUGUUGGUGGGGUAGUGGCUUACCAAGGCUUUGACGGGUAGCCGGCCUGAGAGGGUGACCGGCCACAUUGGGACUGGGAUACGGCCCAGACUCCUACGGGAGGCAGCAGUGGGGAAUAUUGCACAAUGGGCGGAAGCCUGAUGCAGCAACGCCGCGUGCGGGAUGACGGCCUUCGGGUUGUAAACCGCUUUCGCCUGUGACGAAGCGUGAGUGACGGUAAUGGGUAAAGAAGCACCGGCUAACUACGUG